rnacentral:lncRNA from 1 species
UGCUCCUCCAUUUUUUUUAUUUUUUGUCAGAUUUUCGGAAUCCUCUGGUUUUAUCCAUGUAUUGUCAUUAAAAGAAUUUGCCCACUAACCCCUACUUUACUUUUCAUAAUUUUAUUACAUAAAGUUUGAAAAGCCAUAUUUCAAAAUUUUAUAGAAUUCUUGUUAUUUUUUCAUAGUUUUUGAAACAGAUAAGGUGCCAAUGUUAAAUAUAUGUAAAAUCUAGAGAUAAUUAUUUCCCGCCAAAUUUUCAAUGGCUUAUAUCUCGAAAACGAGCACACGGACCCUCCA